GAUGCUUCGGAAAUGUAAAAUAACCCAGGUUUAGGAAUAAGUCUAUACAUACUCCAGUUUGUGGUGUUGGGUAAGAUACGCUUAUUUUGAGGGAUGGAUUUUUUGGGGGGGGAACUGUUGCAGGGUUGGGGUCCAUUCCAUUUCAAUUCAGUCAAUUCAGGAAGUAAACAAACAAAAAAAAACAAUUCUCAUAGAGCUCUGAGGAAAAUAGGAAUUUCAUUUUCAAUUAAAAUGGAAUUGACACAAACCCUGAUCUGUAGACUGACUUACCUUCUCUAAAUGCAGAUUCAUCCAUCGUGUAAACGUCCUCUUCUGAACGACCUCUCUUUCAACUGCAAGAGAAAAGCAACAGAAACACAGAGGAGGAUGUGAAUAUGGUGGCUGUGAAUAAAAGAUGGGAAUACAGAGAAGAGACCAGCAGCAUCAAUACUGACUCAUGCCCACCCCUUCCCCCCCAGUCUCAUCGAUGGCCAUCCGGCAUACACGGUGAGGUGUCUCCUGAGUGUUCGACCUCGGGGCAGGGGAUCCCAUGUUUGAUUGGGAGGGUUAUGGUCCAGAGGAGAGGUGCUCGAUCCCCGCUAGGAACAUCCUGGACCCAGCCCUAAUCGCUGAAUUCCACCGCCGGCACCCCGGUUAACCAGAGCCUGCCUGCCGUUCUGUACCUCUUGACACUGCCCUGGAUUACUGACCCCUGCCUGCCUGCCCUGACCCUGAGCCUGCCCGCCAUUCUGUACUUUACAGACUCUGCCCUGGAUUACUGACUUCUGCCCGUCCCUGACCGGUCUUUUGCCUGCCCCCUGGUUUGUAAAUAAACAUUUGUUA